AGGCCGAUCUCGAACUUCUGACCUCAUGAUCUGCCUGUCUCAGCCUCCCAAAGGGCUGGGAUUACAAGCAUGAGCCACCAGGCCCAGCCAGUAAUUGAUUUAAAUGAUCAUGCUAAGGUAUUUGUUAGUGCCAGGUAUAUGUUUCCAAAUUAAUAAAGCACUUCAGGUGUUUCAUCUUUGCAAAAUUGCAAGUUAAACUUUAUAAUAUUACUUGUUCCUUAUGGAAUCAAAAUUUAGUGUUGUCAUGCAACCUAUUUUUAAUUUUCUUUUGUUUUCCCCAGAACCUUAACUGUUUUGACAUGAAUAAUCUUUUGACAGGAACACUGAAUACUAAGGUACUCACUGUAGGCAAAAUUUUUCUGUGAUGCCCUAACUCUGACUAUAAUUGAAGUUAUGAGUGUAAAGCACCUACAUCUUUUCAUAAUGUGUGGCAUUUAAGUUAGUUUAUAUUUUCUUCUUACAAUUACAAAACCGAGUUUUAUUUAUCUUAUUAAAACAAAAACUUGCAGCAAACAUAGGAAAUCUUUGAUAUUGGGCACACAUUCAUUCAGGGACCAACCUUGACUAUCUUUCCUUUCAUCAGUAAUUAUCGUGGGUACUUUAUCGCUGCAUUUCCUGACUCAAACCUGAUAACAUCUCCAAUUCAUGGUUACGCUAAUAUAGUUUGCAUAUAUCAGGUAAUUAGUUCCACCUUCUAGAGUCGCUGAGUCACAACACUGUAGUCAGUCUGUUUCGCUUUACCACAUAACGGAAAUAGACAAAUCAUUUCAGCACUCCUACGUGAAACUGCCUCUGGGUAAGCUGAAUGUAGGUCACAACUGAUAGGUCUGUGAUGAGAAGCCACGAUUUCAGGGUACCCUGUCACCUGCUUGUUGGAUUUAACCUUAGCCUCUCUAAAACAAGGCUUUCUUGUUCCAGUGAAAAUUUGCCAACAUAAUAAAACUAAACAUUUUGAAGUGAAUAACAUUUAAAAAGUAUAUACAAAAACUUUACAGACCUUAUGCCAUUUAAUCUUAAAACAAAUUGGUGAGUUAUCUUCAUCUGCAAGAUGAGGAAUACAAGCUCAAAGAAGUUCAAUUGGCUUGCUCAAGGUGGAGUUAGGAUUAGAACACAGGCUACCAUAACCCCAAAGCCAGUUGUUCCCAAAUUACUUGAGUAUCAGAAUCAUCUGAAAAAUUAUAUAUAUAGAUUUCUAGGCCAUCUCUGCAUAGUCUCCCUCUGUAAGUCUAUUCAUAUUUGUGGUUUGUUUUUAUUUUCUAGGUGGACUUCAGCCAAGAAAAGAAACUAAACCAAACCAUUUUUAUAAGCCAAGGAAUGCGUUAAGUGGUAUAAUAAAUAUUAUAGCAGCUUAUCUUGAGCUGGCUUUCUGAAGUAAUUAUUUUCUCUGUCAGGCAAAUAAUAUGGAAAGAAUAAGAGAGACUGAGGUAGUGUAGCUACAGUGAUGGGCUUAUAAACCGCCUCCCAGUAAAUGGGAGAAGACCUGAUUUAUGGCAUCUGCUGAUUUCGGUGGUGUAAAUACUCCUACUAUGGCCAAUUUCAAACUACUGGUAACUUUAACAACUUGCUAACAACAUUCUUGAAUAUCUAAUGAUUGGCCCAUGAGUCAGCUCCAACAUAUUACUGGCAUGUAGACUGAAUAGGGGAGAAACUGAACAAUUUCCCAGCAUUAUCUGAAUUGUCCAUUAUGUGGUUUGAAUUGGUGUAAAUUCCCCAAACGUUACCCUACCUGUUGGUCUCGUGCUGAUUUUCAAAGGUGGCUCAGUGUCCCCCAAGUCCUCAUUUCUCAAUUUCCACAUACGCUUUAUAUGGAUCUAGGGCAGAAUGAAACCACGGAUGGAGACUACUGGGUAGAGCACUUCCUAGAAGAGAAAUAGAUGCCAUCUUUAAGAUGACUGCUCCUUUGCUCUUACCUGCCACAUGGCAGGGGUAGCAGCAUGGGGGGCUGCCUCCUGUGUGAGAGCAUCAGGGUGGGAAUGAAACAUGACACAGGAUUUAAAGAAGCUUGGCUCGGAUGUGAGGGCGAUCUGGCUGUGACAUCUGUCACCCCAUUGAUCGCCAGGGUUGAUUCGGCUGAUCUGGCCGGCUAGGCGGGUGUCCCCUUCCUCCCUCACCGCUCCAUGUGCGUCCCUCCCAAAGCUGCACGCUCGGUCGAAGAGGACGACCAUCCCCGAUAGAGGAGGACCGUCCUGUAGGGAAAGUAUA